rnacentral:rRNA from 1 species
UACAGAGGUCUCAAGCGUUGUUCGGAUUCAUUGGGCGUAAAGGGUGCGUAGGCGGCGCGGUAAGUCGGGUGUGAAAUCUCGGAGCUUAACUCCGAAACUGCAUUCGAUACUGCCGUGCUUGAGGACUGGAGAGGAGACUGGAAUUUACGGUGUAGCGGUGAAAUGCGUAGAUAUCGUAAGGAAGACCAGUGGCGAAGGCGGCUCACUGGCCCGGUACUGACGCUGGAGGCACGAAAGCCGUGGGGAGCAAACAGG